rnacentral:rRNA from 1 species
UACUUAGUGGCAGACGGGUGAGUAACAUGUGGGUAUCUACCCUUUGGCCUGGAAUAACACGAGGAAACUUGUGCUAAUACCGGAUAAGUCUUUACGGAGAAAGCUUUAUGCACCAUUGGAUGAGCCCGCACUUGAUUAGUUUGUUGGUAGGGUAAUGGCCUACCAAGACUAUGAUCAAUAGCUGAUUUGAGAGGAUGAUCAGCCACAUUGGGACUGAGACACGGCCCAAACUCCUACGGGAGGCAGCAGUGGGGAAUCUUGCACAAUGGAGGAAACUCUGAUGCAGCGAUGCCGCGUGAGUGAAGAAGGCCUUUGGGUUGUAAAGCUCUUUCGUCGGGGAAGAAAAUGACUGUACCCGAAUAAGAAGGUCCGGCUAACUUCGUGCCAGCAGCCGCGGUAAUACGAAGGGACCUAGCGUAGUUCGGAAUUACUGGGCUUAAAGAGUUCGUAGGUGGUUGAAAAAGUUGGUGGUGAAAUCCCA